rnacentral:rRNA from 1 species
UACGUAGGUGACCAGCGUUGUCCGGAUUUACUGGGCGUAAAGAGCGCGCAGGCGGUUGUUCAAGUCGAGUGUGAAAGCCCCCGGCUCAACUGGGGAGGGUCACUCGAUACUGAUCGACUUGAAGGCAGGAGAGGGAAGCGGAAUUCCCGGUGUAGUGGUGAAAUGCGUAGAUAUCAGGAGGAACACCAGUGGCGAAGGCGGCUACCUGGCCCAUUCUUGACGCUGAGGCGCGAAAGCUAGGGGAGCAAACGGG